GGUUAAGCGACUAAGCGUACACGGUGGAUGCCCUGGCAGUCAGAGGCGAUGAAGGACGUGCUAAUCUGCGAUAAGCGUCGGUAAGGUGAUAUGAACCGUUAUAACCGGCGAUUUCCGAAUGGGGAAACCCAGUGUGAUUCGUCACACUAUCGUUAAGUGAAUACAUAGCUUAACGAAGCGAACCGGGGGAACUGAAACAUCUAAGUACCCCGAGGAAAAGAAAUCAACCGAGAUUCCCCCAGUAGCGGCGAGCGAACGGGGAGGAGCCCAGAGUCUGAAUCAGCGCGUGUGUUAGUGGAACGGUCUGGAAAGUCCGGCGGUACAGGGUGAUAGCCCCGUACACUAAAAUGCACACGUUGUGAACUCGAAGAGUAGGGCGGGACACGUGGUAUCCUGUCUGAAUAUGGGGGGACCAUCCUCCAAGGCUAAAUACUCCUGACUGACCGAUAGUGAACCAGUACCGUGAGGGAAAGGCGAAAAGAACCCCGGCGAGGGGAGUGAAAAAGAACCUGAAACCGUGUACGUACAAGCAGUGGGAGCCUACUUGUUAGGUGACUGCGUACCUUUUGUAUAAUGGGUCAGCGACUUAUAUUCUGUAGCAAGGUUAACCGUAUAGGGGAGCCGCAGGGAAACCGAGUCUUAACUGGGCGUUAAGUUGCAGGGUAUAGACCCGAAACCCGGUGAUCUAGCCAUGGGCAGGUUGAAGGUUGGGUAACACUAACUGGAGGACCGAACCGACUAAUGUUGAAAAAUUAGCGGAUGACUUGUGGCUGGGGGUGAAAGGCCAAUCAAACCGGGAGAUAGCUGGUUCUCCCCGAAAGCUAUUUAGGUAGCGCCUCGUGAACUCAUCUUCGGGGGUAGAGCACUGUUUCGGCUAGGGGGUCAUCCCGACUUACCAACCCGAUGCAAACUACGAAUACCGAAGAAUGUUAUCACGGGAGACACACGGCGGGUGCUAACGUCCGUCGUGAAGAGGGAAACAACCCAGACCGCCAGCUAAGGUCCCAAAGUCAUGGUUAAGUGGGAAACGAUGUGGGAAGGCACAGACAGCCAGGAUGUUGGCUUAGAAGCAGCCAUCAUUUAAAGAAAGCGUAAUAGCUCACUGGUCGAGUCGGCCUGCGCGGAAGAUGUAACGGGGCUAAACCAUGCACCGAAGCUGCGGCAGCGACACUAUGUGUUGUUGGGUAGGGGAGCGUUCUGUAAGCCGUUGAAGGUGGCCUGUGAGGGUUGCUGGAGGUAUCAGAAGUGCGAAUGCUGACAUAAGUAACGAUAAAGCGGGUGAAAAGCCCGCUCGCCGGAAGACCAAGGGUUCCUGUCCAACGUUAAUCGGGGCAGGGUGAGUCGACCCCUAAGGCGAGGCCGAAAGGCGUAGUCGAUGGGAAACAGGUUAAUAUUCCUGUACUCGGUGUUACUGCGAAGGGGGGACGGAGAAGGCUAUGUUAGCCGGGCGACGGUUGUCCCGGUUUAAGCAUGUAGGCGGGAAGUUUAGGUAAAUCCGGACUUCUGUUAACGCUGAGGUGUGAUGACGAGGCACUACGGUGCUGAAGUAACAAAUGCCCUGCUUCCAGGAAAAGCCUCUAAGCAUCAGGUAACAACGAAUCGUACCCCAAACCGACACAGGUGGUCAGGUAGAGAAUACCAAGGCGCUUGAGAGAACUCGGGUGAAGGAACUAGGCAAAAUGGUGCCGUAACUUCGGGAGAAGGCACGCUGAUGGUAGGUGAAG
rnacentral:rRNA from 1 species